CUGGGGCUUGCUCUGGUGGAUUAGUGGCGAACGGGUGAGUAACACGUGAGCAACCUGCCCUGGACUCUGGGAUAAGCGCUGGAAACGGCGUCUAAUACUGGAUACGAGACGUGGCCGCAUGGUCAACGUUUGGAAAGAUUUUUCGGUCUGGGAUGGGCUCGCGGCCUAUCAGCUUGUUGGUGAGGUAAUGGCUCACCAAGGCGUCGACGGGUAGCCGGCCUGAGAGGGUGACCGGCCACACUGGGACUGAGACACGGCCCAGACUCCUACGGGAGGCAGCAGUGGGGAAUAUUGCACAAUGGGCGGAAGCCUGAUGCAGCAACGCCGCGUGAGGGAUGACGGCCUUCGGGUUGUAAACCUCUUUUAGCAGGGAAGAAGCGUGAGUGACGGUACCUGCAGAAAAAGCGCCGGCUAACUACGUGCCAGCAGCCGCGGUAAUACGUAGGGCGCAAGCGUUAUCCGGAAUUAUUGGGCGUAAAGAGCUCGUAGGCGGUUUGUCGCGUCUGCUGUGAAAUCCCGAGGCUCAACCUCGGGCCUGCAGUGGGUACGGGCAGACUAGAGUGCGGUAGGGGAGAUUGGAAUUCCUGGUGUAGCGGUGGAAUGCGCAGAUAUCAGGAGGAACACCGAUGGCGAAGGCAGAUCUCUGGGCCGUAACUGACGCUGAGGAGCGAAAGGGUGGGGAGCAAACAGGCUUAGAUACCCUGGUAGUCCACCCCGUAAACGUUGGGAACUAGUUGUGGGGUCCUUUCCACGGAUUCCGUGACGCAGCUAACGCAUUAAGUUCCCCGCCUGGGGAGUACGGCCGCAAGGCUAAAACUCAAAGGAAUUGACGGGGGACCCGCACAAGCGGCGGAGCAUGCGGAUUAAUUCGAUGCAACGCGAAGAACCUUACCAAGGCUUGACAUACACGAGAACGGGCCAGAA
rnacentral:rRNA from 1 species